rnacentral:rRNA from 1 species
AUUGAACGCUGGCGGCAGGCCUAACACAUGCAAGUCGAACGAGUGGCGGACGGGUGAGUAAUGUCUGGGAAACUGCCCGAUGGAGGGGGAUAACUACUGGAAACGGUAGCUAAUACCGCAUACCAUCGGAUGUGCCCAGAGGGGAUUAGCUAGUUGGUGGGGGAACGGCUCACCCAGGCGACGAUCCCUAGCUGGUCUGAGAGGAUGACCCGGCACACUGGAACUGAGACACGGUCCAGACUCCUACGGGAGGCAGCAGUGGGUAAUAUUGCACAAUGGGCGCAAGCCUUAUGCAGCCAUGCCGCGGGUAUGAAGAAGGCCUUCGGGUUGUAAAGUACUUUCAGCGAGGAGGCGUUACUCGCAGAAGAAGCACCGGCUAACUCCGUGCCAGCCGCCGCGGUAAUAC